GCUUCGAGGCCCUGAUGAGGCAGUACGAAGGACAGUCUGUGUGUGUCCGCCGGGCAGAGAACGACUCGAGGAGAGAGAGCUUGAAGACAAGAUAGGUCUGAUGUUUGAGUUUGUUUGACGUGACUAGUCCCACCGGACCCUGAGACUUGGCAAAGGUUGGACGCCCUUGGCACAGUGUCUUCGACGAGUGGUUCCAGCGGUUAUCCACCCUCUCGUCGUAAUUGAAACGACUUGAGGGAAGUGCCUCUGCCAGCAGGCUAGCCGGAGAAGACUGCCCGAUGGACACAAACAGACCUCUAAUCUCCAUUAUCAUGCAAGGCGAGAUGUUUCCGUUUGUAAUCAUGGAAUUAUAUGGCACGUUACUUCACAACUGUGUUGGUCGCGUUGCGUCUGUUCACCUGAGCGAUGGACAGCUCCGACUGAAUUCUACUCCGUGGCCUGCGGAUGGCGUCUCCUCGUGCCUUGUUAACCCUGUGCCAGUGCGACAUACGUCGGACUGGACUUGCUACUGUGACCCAUUUGGUAGCGGUCGUCUCAAGGAAGAGUGGAUACAUUGGCAUAAUUCAUAUAUAUUUCUUUUGAAUGGUGUUACAUAAGCUGUCAUGGAGGCUCGGGUUCCAUUUGGGAGAAGUCCGACAAGUACGUUGAUAUGCAUUUUUUUUUUUUUGACUUUUCGAUCGUGACUCUGUGUCUGUGUGUGCACUUUGGGUGCCCUGCUGUCAGGAGGAAGGUACCCUGAAGUAUAUGUCACGACAAAGCCAUGAAGAACUGUCUACAAAACGUGUGGACUAAUCCUCGUUGCCAGAAGUUGAUUCUACGGCUUCCUAAAGUCUAUGCAAUUGGUUGCACUUCCGCUCCUGUCUCAUCUUAAAUCGAACUCUCGCUGUUGCCAGUUACAUCUGAUCGUAAAGAUGACUUCUCAGAGGACAUACAUCGCAUAGUGGCAUCUCUUCAUUUGAGACCAACGUGUCUGGUCAACCCCGAAGGCAGGGAGCUGUUUAAUAGCGGACCGGAAGUCAUCUUCGAUCCAAACAACACUCAUUUUGACUUCACACUGACAUUUUCUUCCAUUUUAUUUUAAAAUUGUAGGAGAUAUUUAAAAAUUAAUUAAUGUCUUUAUCAAAUAGGCUGUUCUGUUAUGAUUCUCAGGUUUAUGACAGAUUAGUUGCUAGCAUCAAAUUUAAUAAAAAUGCCAGUCAUGGGGAAGAAAGACAGCGAACGAACAAAAACAUAUCAAAUUUAACAUGUUCUUGUUCCACUGUAAAAUGUAACUAAGUGAUGUUAUCCCAUUUCACUUGCACUGAACUUACAGGAGUUAGAUCAUUACAGUAUCUCCACUUUAAAUAUUUUGCAAAUCUUGGUCACCACAAAC